AUUUAAGGGCUGGCAGUGGUAGCAAGGAGGUCUUGCUGGAGAUCCUUGGGUACCUGACAUCUUCUGAAGUAACAGGGCUGCAUGACACAAGCGGCUUCAAGAAACAUGUCCUGAGGGUAGUGCUCAUCUUUCUGAGCUCUGGAUGUCCAGAUCAUUGUGUUGCUUCCCAUUGGAAUCCUAACUGUGCCCUGCUGAAGUUUCACGGAUGGCCAGCUGUCUGCUCAAACACCCAGAGGAUAUUUGUGCAUCUUUCACCCCAUCAGCCUGCUCCUGCAGGACCUGAAUUUAUGUUGCUUGGGCUGUAAACCCCCUGCACAGCCUCCCAGUGGUCUGGAUGGAUACCUAAUUUGCUUUCAGCAUCGCAUAUCCACUUUCGACAUCAGAGGAUACAGUUUCUGAGCUUUGCAGAAGUUUUAGCUGCUCAACUACCAUUAAAGUCAAUUGGAUCAUGUGGCUAAAGUAACAUAUAACAAUUGGAGAAUGCACUCCAGGGUUAAACUGCUGUACUUGAGCUAUUAGAUUGAAAGAAUUAUCCAUCUUCCAAAACACAACCUGCAUUGCCACAGCAUGGUGCCCCCUAUUCAUCACCUCCAGACACUGAAAGCUGCUUUCAGCCCUGGUGUAAAUGAAGUUGCCAUAUCAUUUGAAUCACGCAGCUUAAGCCAGAGCUGGAUCUGUCCCACACAGAGCUGCUGAGUUUUCAAUGCAAGAGAGGCCCAGGGUAAUUGGCACUGGUCUGUGAGCAUCGCAGGAAAGAGAAAGAAAAGGAGUUAUUGAAAUAAAGUGGAGAGACUCUCCUUUGAAAACUGGAAUGAAAUGAAAACAGAAGGAAGAACAGAGUUUGUGGCCCUUCCCACACCUGGCUCUUCAGAGCAUCCUCUUCCCGCUGGCAUCAAGGGCUCCAGGGCAGAAGCAGGUGAUGCAAUGGUCAUCUCUGCCAACUUUUAAAAACUUGGGAAGAACUCUUCACUUUCAGAACAAGAACUUGCUGCUAAAUACGGUAAUUAUGGUCGCAGGAUAGUCUUCUUUUCUUGGAUUUUUGUGACUGAACAAAUUAUUUUUCUGCCCAAGACAACAAGGUAUUUUUAUAGACUGCACCUAAUUGCACAGCAACAGCAGAAUGGGAAGAAGCCACAGGCCUCAAACAGAUUGUGUCUCGUUCUUCCAAAAUGAGAGGCAGAACUAAUCAGUCUGCAGAAGGACUCAGUAACCAAUUAACUAACUCCUAGCAGUCAGUAAAAUAACCCUUGUGAGAGAGGGAAGGUAAUGAAGCUACCCUGUCAGCUUUACAAUGAGAUCCCUUGAUAUCUGAAAAUAUAAAACAUUUUUAUACUCAUUUUCUGUACAUUUUCCAGCCCAUUUCCUACCAUAAAAUGAAAUAAUGUGCCAAUAAAUGCAGUAUUUAAAAUUUUGUGCCUUACUGUGCUAACGUUCAGGCUGGAUAUGCCAUGGGUAAGCCAAAGAGCACUGCCAUACCUGGAAGAAACCAAAAGAUUUUCCUACUCACAGUGAUAGCUGCUUAAGUGGAUGAGCAUUGUCCUUGUCUUGAUCUCGAGUCAUAGAGUCAUAAGGCUUGGAGAAGGCCACUAAGAUCAUCUAGUUCAACCAUCCAGACCUGAGCUCUUCCACUCUAUUGUUUCCACGUGUGAUGUUUUAUCUUUGGUCUGCCUUCAGUGCGUCUCAGGUCAAAGUCACCUCUUGGUAAUUUCUGUAAUACUGAUCCUCCUGAAGACGGUAAUACAGGUUUAUAUAAAAUAGAUGACAGAAUGAAGACAAGAUACCAGAUUUCGUGAUUCACAGCCCACUGCUCUUCUUGUGAUGUCUAAUUGCUGCCAGGAAGCCCCUCGGUAGAUCAAGAUGCAAUAUUCCCACCAGAUCCUAUACACAUGAGCAGAUGCAUGGGACCCAUCCCUGGUUUUGCUGAUUCACUUGAAUUCGAUCACAUAAAAAAGUGACUGCUUUUCAGCAUAAAAGUUCAUCAUGAUCCUCAUAUCAUCAACACAUCUGUGGUAGCACCCUUCUGCGGAUCAUCUGAAUUGCUUUGAUGUUACCUGCUGGAUUGUAAAUGGGUAGCAGGAGCAUUGGAAAGCCUCAAAACCUUCUCCUCCGGGUAACCAUGUGUCUGGCACAGCACUGAGAAGAAUGAUGGGUCCCUGUCCCAAACACCAGAUUAAUUGCUUUGGUCAUGUGGCCUAACCUUGUCCACCAUGAGUUCUACAUCUGUUUUUUCUUAUUAUUAAACAAAAAAAC
ensembl:lncRNA